rnacentral:lncRNA from 1 species
UUGGGGAUUUGGGGGAGGGUUUCGAAUUGGGGUCGCCAGAUCCGGAGGCGGCAACGGCGGCGGCGGAAGGGUUUUUGCCGGCGGGGGGAUCCCAUCGAGACUUUUUCUUGGAGGUCUGGGUAUUGGGGUCGGGUUUUGGUGAUGGGUUGUUGCUGUGAUUAAUAGGUUUCUGGUUUGGGUUCAGAUGAUUAUUGGGGUUUGUGGGUUUGGGGGAGGGUUUCGAAUUGGGGUCGCCGGAUCCGGAGGCGGCAGCGGCGGCAGAGGUGGCAGAAAGGUUUUUGCCGGCGGGGGGAUCCCAUCGGGACUUUUUCUUGGAGGAAGAAGGAGGAGUUUGUUUAUUAUUGGAGGAGGGUUUUGGAGGGUGAUUAGCUCCUGCCAUCCAAAAGUAGGGCUUUUGAUGUCGAAACUAUUUGUGGAAGAUAGUUCAAACUUCAAAGGGAGGAGUCAAGUUAUAUGUGCAGGAGCCGAGUACGUAUGAAAAUAC